CAAUAGCGUAUAUUUAAGUUGCUGCAGUUAAAAGGCUCGUAGUUGGAUUUCGGGUGGGAAUGGCCGGUCCGCCGUUUCGGUGUGCACUUGCUACGCCCACCUUGCUGCCGGGGACGUGCUCUUGAGUUCACGCUCGGGACACGGAGUCGGCGAGGUUACUUUGAGUAAAUUAGAGUGUUCAAAGCGGGCCUACGCUCUGAAUACAUUAGCAUGGAAUAACACGAUAGGACUCUGGCCUAUCUUGUUGGUCUGUAGGACCGGAGUAAUGAUUAAGAGGGACAGUCGGGGGCAUUCGUAUUUCAUUGUCAGAGGUGAAAUUCUUGGAUUUAUGAAAGACGAACUACUGCGAAAGCAUUUGCCAAGGAUGUUUUCAUUAA
rnacentral:rRNA from 1 species